rnacentral:rRNA from 1 species
CCUACGGGGGGCAGCAGUGAGGAAUAUUGGUCAAUGGCCGGAAGGCUGAACCAGCCAAGCCGCGUGAAGGACGAAGGUGCCAAGCAUUGUAAACUUCUUUUGUCAAGGGACAAAAUCAGGCUCGAGAGCCUGACCGAGGGUACUUGAAGAAAAAGCAUCGGCUAACUCCGUGCCAGCAGCCGCGGUAAUACGGAGGAUGCGAGCGUUAUCCGGAUUUAUUGGGUUUAAAGGGAGCGUAGACGGCGCGGCAAGUCUGAAGUGAAAGGCAGGGGCUUAACCCCUGAACUGCUUUGGAAACUGCCAUG